rnacentral:rRNA from 1 species
GUGCUCGAGUGGCGAACGGGUGAGUAACACGUGAGUAACCUGCCCUUGACUUUGGGAUAACUUCAGGAAACUGGGGCUAAUACCGGAUAGGAGCUCCUGCUGCAUGGUGGGGGUUGGAAAGUUUCGGCGGUUGGGGAUGGACUCGCGGCUUAUCAGCUUGUUGGUGGGGUAGUGGCUUACCAAGGCUUUGACGGGUAGCCGGCCUGAGGGGGUGACCGGCCACAUUGGGACUGAGAUACGGCCCAG